rnacentral:rRNA from 1 species
UACGUAGGAUGCGAGCGUUGUCCGGAUUUACUGGGUGUAAAGGGCGUGCAGCCGGGCAGACAAGUCAGAUGUGAAAUCCCGCGGCUUAACCGCGGAACUGCAUUUGAAACUGUCAGUCUUGAGUACCGGAGAGGUCAUCGGAAUUCCUUGUGUAGCGGUGAAAUGCGUAGAUAUAAGGAAGAACACCAGUGGCGAAGGCGGAUGACUGGACGGCAACUGACGGUGAGGCGCGAAAGCGUGGGGAGCAA